CUGACACAAUGAAGCAGGUGUGAGACUGGCCCCUUUCUCCCAUGCCUUAGACAGGGCUCAGGGACUGCUUCAGGGGAGAUGUCAGAGGGCAGCGGGACCGGGAAGGGAGGAAGAAAGCAGAGUGACAGUGAGAGGGGGGAAAACUAUAAGAGGAAUUGUUUGUACGCUUGGAUCUGGACUUUUAGAACUGGUCAGGACCUGACAGAUCUUCCAGCCCAGUUCUCCCGGCUCUCAAACACUGGCAUCAUUUAUAAUUCGCUGGAAAAUCACCAGCAGGUAAAUGAAGGAGAAAAGAAAAGAACAAAAUCCACCGGGAACCAGAGACUUCCAGGUUCCAAAGACAGGCAAUCUCCACCAGGAAACACAGGAGAAGCCCUGAAAAGUUAGUCUUCUGGAAGAGAAAUUUACAUCUACAAAGGAAAUCUCCAUUUCUAAGUGUGUCUUCCUCUGCACUAGGAAGAGAAGGAUGACUAAAUCAGAGAAGUCUCUUGGCAGAGAAAGCACGGACUUCAGUC
rnacentral:lncRNA from 1 species